CAUUGACCAAUUAAGAGUCCGCUGCAUUUACGCGCGCUCGUCUCUCAAAAUUUGUGUCUCCUUGCUCAAAAGUAAGUUUUGAAGACAAGAGAAAAGGAAAGGAAAGAUAAUAUUGAAAAGAGGCGAAUCCCAUUCCCAUCCCCCACCCAUCUCUCUCCCCUCGCCGCCGCGAGUUUCGGCGGCACGCAGCACACCGCCGACACCCCCUCACUCCGGUCCUUCCUCCUCUCCGGCCAGAUUCGCGGCUACCGCGCGCAACCCCUCCCAAUCCCCGUGGAUAGGGUCGUGGGCAUGUCCCCGGCUCGAGCUGCGUGCCAAGAUCCACGGCACCAUCCUCCUCCAUGAUCCAGGAGAGGCGGCGGCGGCGGAGGAGCCAAGCCAUGGACCCUAGCCCGCGGCCAUCAGGAUCCGCAGGCAGGAGGCGCAGCCAUGGGAGGAGCAGGACGACGCCAUGGAAGGCUCACCAACAACUCCGGUCUUCUCCAAGGACAUGGAGGUCCUCCGCUGCACUCCCUGAUGCAUCAAGCGCGCAGGCAUACAAGGAGGCUCUGCUUCUUCCCAGGUCGCCAUGGAAGAUUAUUCUUCAGGUUGAUACUAACUUGGUAAUGUUGCUGUUCCGAGACCCCGCUGCCGCUGCGGACGCCAUGGAGACCGUCAAGGCGCAGACUGUUGUGUGCCGCCUCUUCCAUGGGCGUCCACGCCAUGGAGCUCCUUAAGACACCCUCAAUGAUGACCAAGGUGGAGUGCAGGACAUCGAGGACAUGAUAUGAACCGCCGUUCCAGACGCCCGCCUCGGGGAAGGAGCACUCCAUCCCGCUGAUAACAAUGUUUUGAGAGAGGAGAUGACGGAUUUGGUGGAGGAGAGGAACUCCCUCAAGGACGAAAAGAGGAGCCCUGUGUACAGAAAACUUGUGAUGCUGCUUUGUCAAGUGCUUGUGUGGUGGUUUCGAUUUGACCUAGAAGACCGCCGCUUCGCUCCUCCGGGUCUUCUUAUUCCCGGGUGGCCGCUGCUCCCACGAUGGAGCAAACGCUUGUCUUGUUUUUCCGUAUUGAGUAAACGCUUGUCUUGUUUUUCUGUAGCAUUCACCAUGCAUGUCUCGUGUGAUCCUUGUGCAGGCCGUAUAGCACUAAUUGGACUGCGGUGGUCUGGUGACACCUUCCCUUGUCCAUGGAGGAUCCUCAAUAGGCAAGAACAAGUGCCACCGCUGAUCCGAAGCUCGUGCCAGGAGAAGGGAUUCUGUCAUUGCCUUCUAUGUGGUUGGCGUAGACCACUGUGUGCCGCCUCUUCCAUAGACGCAACAGCUUCUUCGACCCCGCUGCCGACGCCAUGGAGAUCGUCAAG